GCUACUUGUUCAAGCGAUAUGUUCUUUAUAAAUACAUAUUGGUAUGAUACUGUUGGUGUUCAAGUGUACUUUUCUUGUUAGGGACAUUAAGAUUAUUUAAGAUUUCUUGUAUUAAGUGUUUAGACAGAGAUUCCUCAUUAUAUUUUUAUAUGGAUAACAAAAUUAUUUGCUGCUUUGUAAAUAUUAUGGAGCUUGUUAUAAACAAUCAUAUACUCAAGAAAGAAAUUUGAUUGAAGAUAUUGACAGCAAUGAUCGUAAGCUACUUGAAAAACGAACAAAUCUGAAACAAGAACAAAUUACUAAUAUAUGCACACACCAUCAUGAUAUGUUAGUUGUAAGAUAUGAGAGUAAUCAGAAAAAAUGCUGUAAUCCAUUUCUGAGUCACCAAAUUUUGUAUCUCUACGUGUGAUUACAAUGCAUACUGUGUUAGAACCAGAAACCAUAGGGGUAAAUCUAAAAAAACUGUUUCCAACCUGUCGAAGUAAAGUUAUGACAUAAUUAUUAAAAAGUAUAAGUGAAAAUAAAAAUGAUGAAGAUAACAUGAUGGUUUUUAAUCAUGAUGAUGUUUGAUAACAUCAACAUCAAAAAAGUACAACUUGCAACACUUGCUCCAACAGACUAGUCAAUAAAAAAGGUAUCUGAAACAAUGCAUGUAACCAACUAUGUAGCUCGAACUGCACGUAAGUUAAUAUUAGAAAAAGGUAUUUUUAACCAUGCCUAAUCCUAAAUUAGGGAAAGCUCUUCCUGAUGUAACAGUUUAACUGGUCAAGACCUUUUACGAAGACGAUGAACAUAGCCGUAGAAUGCCUGGUAAAAAGGACUAUGUAAGCAUAAAGAAAAAUGUCCACAUGCAAAAACGAUUGCUCUUAUGUAAUUUAAAGGAAUUGUUUGUUGCCUUUAAAACCAAGAACCCAGAAAUAAAAAUAGAAUUUUCAAGGUUUUGCACCUUGCGACCUGAAUGAUGUAUUACUGUUUGGUGCCUCAAGAACACAUUCUGUAUGCGUCUGUGCUAUUCAUCAGAAUUUAAAACUGCUUUUACAUCCUCUUGGUUUGACAUACAAAGAAUUGUUACCUUAUAUUGUCUGUGAUAUAACUAAUAAACUAAGACUGUAUGAUGAGGAAAUGUGGAAAAUGCCCAGCAACUAUGAAUGCAUUGGUUAAAAAACUUUAUGAUAUAAAUUUGAAGAUGAUGAUGAGAUUGAAUUUGAUCAAUGGACGACAACAGAUAGGUCAAACUUGACACAUAAUAAAGACCCAGUUUUUGAAUACAUUGAACUAGUAUGUAGAAAACUGGAAAAACUUGCACCACAUUCGUAUUUAGCAAAGAGUCAAGCAUUAUACCUAAGAUCAAGAAAGGAAGAUAUGAAUGAGGUAACAGCAUUAUUUCGGGGUGAUUUUUCAGAAAAUUAUAAAUUUGUAGUUCAGGAUGAAGUGCAAAGCUUUCAUUGGACAAAUUUAUAAUGUACACUUCAUCUAGUGAUUAUUUAUUUCAAAAAAGAAGGCAUUCUCAAGCACAAAUCCUAUUGUAUUAUUUCGAAUGAUAUGAUCCAUGAUGUAAACAUGGUUUAUAAAAUUAUUGAGGUUUGCAAUGAUAUAAAAACAAAUUUACCUCAAAUAAAAAAUAUUGAAUACUUUUUAGAUGGGUGUGCAGGUCAAUAUAAGAAUUACAAAAAUAUGUUAAAUCUUUGUUUCCAUUGUGAAGAUUUUGGUUUUACUGCUAAAUGGAACUAUUUUGCAACUAGUCACUUAGGCACGGUAGGCAACCUUGUGAUGGAAUAGGUGGUAAAUUCAAACGUCUGGCAACACUAGGAACGAUUGGAUACUGUUAAUACAAUACCUGGAACACGUAGUUACAAUCAGUUUGUACCACUUGGCCAUCAAAAGGUAGGCACUAAGCUAUGCAGUGUUGAUGAAGAUUUUGCUUUAAUUCAUGACUUGGAAAUAUCCAGAUAACAACUGUAAACCUAGUACCAGAUAAUUACGCCUGUGUUUCCUAUGAGCAAAAGUGGAGGAGUCAUUGAAGAUAUUAAUUUAGAAGAAAAAGAUGUGCUUGUAAAAUUUAUGUAUCUUAAUGGUCCUGCACGGUCGUUUAAAUGGCCACCAAAGGAAAGCCAAUGCUGGAUUCCUGAUGUCUACAUUAUUUGCAAAGUUGAGGUACCGAUAACAAAAACAGGACUUUGCUAUUAUUUAGCCAAAGAGGACUUAAAAAAAAUUAUUUUCCUAAGGAAGUAGAGGUUUUUAUAUUUAUGAAUCUUUUAUGUCUUAUCCAUUAUUUUUUUUAAUAUUAUGUUUUGUGAACCAACUUGUAAAUAAUGCGAAUG